rnacentral:rRNA from 1 species
AAUGAACGUUGGCGGCGUGGAUUAGGCAUGCAAGUCGUGCGAUAACCCCGCAAGGGGGGAAAGCGGCGAAAGGGAGAGUAACGCGUGGGUACCUGCCCCUUGGUCCGGAAUAGCUGCGGGAAACUGCAGGUAAUGCCGGAUAAUAUCCUCGGAUCAAAGGUGUGAUUCCUCCGAGGGAGGGCCCCGCGUUCUAUCAGCUAGUUGGUAGGGUAAUGGCCUACCAAGGCGACGAUGGAUACCGGGUGUGAGGGCAUGACCCGGCUCACUGGGACUGAGACACUGCCCAGACACCUACGGGUGGCUGCAGUCGAGAAUCUUCGGCAAUGGGCGCAAGCCUGACCGAGCGACGCCGCGUGCGGGAUGAAGGCCUUCGGGUUGUAAACCGCUGUCGUAGAGGAGGAAAUGCCAUGGGGUUCUCUCCAUGGUUUGACCUAUUCUAGGAGGAAGGACGGGCUAAGUUCGUGCCAGCAGCCGCGGUAA